UUCCAGAAGUUGCUGGCUUGCUGCUCCCUGGCAGCUGGCAGGCCGCGGCUCGCACGCGUCCUCCAACCAGACCGGGCCAGGUCAGGCACGGAGCCGCUCGCCGCCUCCGGGGCUCCGGCCUCCGCCACGGCGGUUACCGGCGAUGAACGGCGGGCUCCCUGGAUUCCACAAUGCGCCGGCAUCGAGGGCCGUGGUCGUCGCCUCCGCGCUCUUCUCCGUCCCCUUCGGCUUCCGCGGCCGCUUCUUCGACCUCGGCCUUUCCUACCAGAAUGUUUACCAAAGUUUGAGUAUAUGGAGGCUUAUCACCUCGUUGUUUGCUUUCUCGUCGACCCCUGAGCUGAUAUUUGGAGCCGCGCUGCUGUACUACUUCCGGGUGUUCGAAAGGCAAAUAGGUUCUAACAAGUAUGCUGUCUUCAUCAUAUUCUCAACCAUGGUCUCUGUCCUGCUUCAGAUCCUUGCUUUAGGUUACCUGAAAGAUCCUUCUAUAAAUCCUCUGACGUCAGGACCCUAUGGCCUCAUUUUUGCAUCUUAUGUGCCAUUCUUCUUUGACAUUCCGGUCUCAAUGAGGUUCCGCAUAUUUGGACUGAGCUUAAGUGAUAAGUCAUUUGUAUAUUUGGCUGGACUCCAGCUUCUUUGCUCAUCUGGAAGACGUUCUGUUGUACCUGGAGUUUCUGGCAUACUAGCUGGCCUUUUGUAUCGCCUGAAUACAUUUGGCAUCCGCAGGUUGAAGUUCCCAGAGUUUGUAGCAUCACUCUUCACGCGUGUAUCGUGGCCGUUUUCUAGAAAUCCUUAUCAAGGGUUGCCGACUACAGAAAAUGAUGCAAACAUUUCUUCUCACCAGGUACAUCAAACUGAGGCAAGUAUUAUUGCUACAACCCUUAUAUUUGAUAGAUGUUGACAUAUAUUGGGCGAUCAGCGGAUUUUAGGUACUAAAUCAGCCAAUCAGGAGGUCCUCUGGAACAUGAUUUACAACACUUGAGAGUUGUCUUGAUUAUGUAUGCCUGACUAUGUUUGUUAUACUUUUUUUUGAAAUGGAUAAUAAAACAAAUAAGUUAAAUAUCUAGGAUGUGAGCACCUUAUGUAGGAAUAUGGGGUAGCAAAAACAAAAAUUUUCCACCGCAUAAACCAGGAUUACUGCAGUUAUAGAUCAUGGAAUUAGUGCAGAUGGAAGCCGGCAGUGCAGUUGCGUGAACCACCUCACGAACGGCUCGUCCUUGUGCAGCAAGCGCAGCACCUCCACGAAGUCCACACGUACAGGAAGAAGCUUCGCACUCCGGAUUGCUAGAUCCGCAAGAACGAACUUAGGCUGCGCACACAGCUACCCAAGACCCUGCAGAGUCCUCUAUUGCCGCUCUCGUGUCCAUUGGCUUCGAUCGUAACUCUGCAGUUCAGGCACUUGUAUUGACAAACUAUGACGUUAAUUUGGCCUCGAACAUUCUGCUUGAAACACAAGCCCUGCAGCAAUGAUACCUUGUAGUCAAAAUAUAGACGCACUGUACAUUAAUGGAUGUGAAGUGUUUCAUUCAUUCUUAUGUACCAGAUUUUAUCUCAGAAUUUAUUGACACAAACAAGCCAUUGUACAACACAGAACUAGAGGAACGAAGCACAAUGAAUACAUGAGCUCUCUAUUUGCUUGCUCGGAUA